CAGCCGCCGCGGUAAUACGAAGGGUGCAAGCGUUAAUCGGAAUUACUGGGCGUAAAGCGUGCGUAGGCGGUGAGUUAAGUCUGCUGUGAAAUCCCCGGGCUCAACCUGGGAAUGGCGGUGGAUACUGGCUCGCUAGAGUGUGUCAGAGGAUGGUGGAAUUCCCGGUGUAGCGGUGAAAUGCGUAGAGAUCGGGAGGAACAUCAGUGGCGAAGGCGGCCAUCUGGGACAACACUGACGCUGAGGCACGAAAGCGUGGGGAGCAAACAGGAUUAGAUACCCCCGUAGUCCCUGUCUCUUAUAC
rnacentral:rRNA from 1 species